UUGAAACAGCGGUUCUCGUACAAUCACAAAAGUUAAGCAACAUCGGGCUUGUUCAGUACAGAGAUGAGUGACCGCUUGGGAAAAGCAAGUGUUGUAA